UUAAACAGUUGUUGUUAGUUUAGUUUCACCUCUUAUUUUACGUAAACCGGUCCUAAUUACAAUUAAUUUAAUAAUAGUGUUGUUCGUAAAACAAAAUAUUUUAAGGUGUGAAUCCGUCUUUUAAUAGUUAUUUCUGACUAUUGUGCUUAGUUCACUGAGUGUGAGAAAAUUGAUACUAAAAAUGAUACAAGUAACGUGUAACUAUAGACUAGAGUGGAUGAACUUACAGCUAAAUGCGUUAAAUUAAGUGGCAUUCCAGUAGAUCGAAUAAUGUUAUUCCACCGUGGACAACCUUUGAUCAACCAACUUACAUCGUUGGGUGAAUUCAUUCAAGAAUAUGAUGUCAUUGAAAUAACCGAGUGUAAAGUUGGCAAAAUAUUGGAAAACAAAACAGUUGAAUGUAAGCCAAAGGAAAAGAAGAAUAACGUAAUUACUGUUUACGUUAUUUAUAUUGUUUUUUAGCUUCGAUGCGAAGCUAAAUUUUGAAGAAAAAAAAUUUGACCUCUGGAUUUGUCAUUAUGGUA